CUACCUUUCACCUAAAAUGGAAGAUUUGAGCUUUCACUGUAAGACUAUUAGUCUUACCUGGAAUAGCCAUUCACAUUCUUUUUUCUUUUUCUUUCUAACUGAGACAGGAUCUUGCUGUGUUGCCCAGGCUGGUCUUGAACUCCUGGGAUCAAGUGAGCCUCCCACCUUGGCUUCCUGGAGUGCUAGGACUAUAGGCAUGAGCCACCACGCCAGGCCCAGCCUUUCACAUUCUUGAAAGGGUUUUAGGGUAAAACUUUGAGACUGUUAUGUUUAAUAUGCCCACUUGAAAGAAAUAUUAAAAAUGGUAUCUCAAUGACUUUUGGUCACAAACCUCUUGCCUUUUGUUUGAAUCCCAUUGUCUAUUACUAAUAUGUAUAUGAUCUUAAAUUCUGAAAUCAGGCCCAAGAAACAGAUAUUUUCAAGAAAAAGAAGAGGAAAGGACAGGAGGACAGGAAAUCCAAAAAGAAGAAGUCCGCUCCCAGUAUUUUGUCAAAUGGACGGAUUGGACAGGUUGGAAAAUUCAAAAAUGGAACACUGAUUCUGAGCCCAGUUGAU
rnacentral:sRNA from 1 species